UGAUGAUGAUAAUGAUGAUGAUGAUGAUGAUGAUGAUGAUGAUGUCGAUGUCGUCGUCAUCAUCAUCAUCAUAUUCAUCGUCGUCG
rnacentral:pre_miRNA from 1 species